UACGUAGGGGGCAAGCGUUGUCCGGAUUUAUUGGGCGUAAAGAGCGUGUAGGCGGCCAUACAGGUCAGCUGUGAAAACUCGAGGCUCAACCUCGAGACGUCGGUUGAAACCGUUUGGCUAGAGUCCGGAAGAGGAGAGUGGAAUUCCCGGUGUAGCGGUGAAAUGCGCAGACAUCGGGAAGAACACCCGUGGCGAAGGCGGCUCUCUGGGACGGUACUGACGCUGAGACGCGAAAGCGUGGGGAGCGAACAGG
rnacentral:rRNA from 1 species